AUCUGAAAAUAAAAUAUUCCUCAAAUAAGGAGUUUCCCCAGUUUAACUGUUUCUCAAUUGCCUGAAGGAGGAGUCACAUGGUUUAUUUCUGCAUUCACAAUGGAUACGUUUCAUAUUUUGUAGAUCUCUAGCAACUAGUUCACGUUAGUCAUGUGGACUCUUAAACAACAAGGCAACAAGGAACAAAAAUAGUGUCAUAUGCAACACAAUCAAACCCAUAUAAGUGAACUUCCUCCAAUGUUGCCAUAAUAAACAACUCUGCCCACAAAGUGUCCAGAAUCACAUUACCUAACAUAGAGAAGUGCUAUUAAUAAACUAUUGCAAAUUGUUUUGAAAAAAGUUAACAUUGUUAUAUGUCGUGAUCUACUGCUUCUGUGUUUUGUUUUGUCUAAAGUAUCUCUCUUAUUUCGCUGUAGCCACGCCCAUUUUCUAUAUUGCUCGCCUUCCUUUCACGUCUGGGCCACGCCCCCUCUAUGUUCUAGUCCGGCUCAAAAGAUCAUCAAGAAAUAAUGCUUCUUCUUCCUCUCAGCCUUUUGUCUUAAAUUUCUCCCUACGAUUACUAUGGAGAACCGAGCCGCCAUGAUCAAAUAUAAAGAAAAAAGGAAAUAAAUGUUUUUUUUAUUUUUUUAAUUAUGAUUACAAAUAUAUAAAACUUUGAAAAAAGAAAUGUAUAAAUGCUUAUAUUUCCAGUAAAACACUUAUUAAUAUUCACGUUAUUUAUUUUUCUAUUUUUUUAAGAAAGAUUUAUGCAUUUAGCUUUUCCUAUUCUCAAGCCGUUAUUCUUUUCGCAAAGUAGGCAAAUGAGCCGGACGUGUCUUAAUUGAGUCACUGCAGUCAUUGGUCAAUUUGUGAAGCGUUUCCUAAUCGAUUCCUCUCGUUUAGACACUGGGUGAAUGCUACAGCAAUGCAUCAUGGUCUAGCUAGCAUUAGCAAUGGAUCUUCGGCAGAUAGAAAACAUCUUAAGGUGUUUGUGGACAAUUCAGAAAGUUUUACACCAGACGUCAUGGUGUUUUAAAUUGAUUUGAUUUAGGAAAACUUGUUCAGUUUAUCUGACAAUACGGGCAGAGAAAUACCAAAGCUGCCCUUCAUAAAACCGUGGAAACCUUCGAAGGAAUCGACAUCGUCUGCAACAAAGCUGCUCCUAAACGAAUCACAGUGGGAGAGAAGUGUCUCCGUGAACUUGCUACACCUUUACCUGACGUCUCUCUGGGUUUUCUUCACCAGUUUGUUGUGACCAUCAACACUGAUACCUCUGUGUGGUAGCUGGGUCUCAUUAAGGCUCACAUAUCUGGCUCUGCAGCACAUGAACGAGCUGACUGGAGUCAUGUGGGUCAUCAUCAACAAGGCCUCCAUUGAAAGUAUUCACCCUGAUGCCGUCUGAUGUAACCCAGUUGCUCCAGGUCUCACUCCACUAAUAGGAUGUCCUGGCUACACGGCAACGAGUACAGUGUGGUCGGCUUCACUCUUUAGCCAUGGACACCGGCUGAUGUGAUGAGGUGCCUCCUGGAGCUGGUGACGGACGAAACAAAGAACGGAGAAACCGUGAUGGUGAAAUAUAAUCUGAAGAAAUACAUGACAUUUACUUCUCUGGUUUGAGAAGCUCAUGAUGAGAACAAUCCACAACAACAUCAAAUAAGUAAAUCAAUAAUAUAUCAAACAUCUGAUUCAUAUACUGCCUUUUUAUAACCAAUAAUUUCUAAAGGAUCGGUCAAACCAGUAUCUUUCUUGCAACAUUUUCUUGCAUAAAGUGGCUCAAUUCCAGAGGUGACAGGAAACCGUAGCUGGUCCAACGACGCCCUGAAUUAAAGACGCUGGUCUCACUGUCAUGAACAACACAUCAGCAUUUUAUGGGUCAAAUUGCACUUUAAUGCACCUGACACCAGACAAACACUGCUGUUAGUUACAGCCUAAAGCUAAACUGCCUCAUUUAAAGUCAUGUUUAUUAUUAACAAGUAGUUCUACAACAAGUUGUUCUACAAACAAAUGAAAAGGUAAACAUUGUCAAAGUAAAUAACAGCCAGAUGUAAUUUCAAUAAAGGAUCAUUCUAAACCUU